rnacentral:rRNA from 1 species
AUGCUGUUUGAGCAUACAGGUCUGUUCUGCGUGCACAUAAUUGCAAUGCUCGAGCACCUGAGAGUGAAGAGUGUACCUAAUAUCUACAUCCUAAAGAGGUACACUACGAGAGCGAAGGCAAGGGAAACAUUUGAUAGGAGAGACUACAAGACUGAAUCAUUUGACGGGUCUUCGUUCUUGCAUCAACAAAAUGAACUUCUCCAAAUAGCUUUGAAAAUUGUGAGAAUAGGAGGCAAGUCAGACGACCAGCAUGUAACAGCAAAAGCUGGCCUGCUAGAAGUGUUAAACAGGGUUGAAGCUGUGGGUUCGUCAAUAGUAGCUGAUGAUGAUGAUGGUGAUGCAUGCACUCCACCAGAUAUAAACCAGUUUGAGCCUGACUUAUCAAUAGAGAUGCCGAGAACAUCGCAUGAUGAUGAUGACAUGCCUAGUACUGGAUGCAAUGCUCAAUCUGUAACUAAGGCUAUCUUACCUCCACCAAUAUCAAAAACUAAGGGCAGCAGGUAUAAGAACACAGCUGAAUCGAGACCAUCGGUGGCUGGAAAGAAAAUGAAGCUGGAAGAAGCAGUCCUAAAAACAGAUGACAAAACUGAAACAGGGAAGAGGAAAUGUGGUGUGUGCGGCGAGAUUGGGUCAGGGCACAAUGCUAGGUCGUGUCCAACAAAAUUUCCCAAAGAUGAAAAGAAACAAUUGAAUAAACAAAGUAAAAGGAUAUGCCAGGGAUGCAAGCACAUUGGGUCAGGGCACAACAUUCUAAGCUGUCCAGUGACCAAAGCUGCUUUGGAUAUAGCAAAGAAAAUAAAUCAGAAAUCUAAGAAGAAGAAUAAUAUGUCCACUGCAUAA